rnacentral:tRNA from 1 species
GCGUCUGUAGCCUAGUUGGUAAAGGCAGCACUCUAGUAUGUGUCUCAGCAUAGCUGAGGUUGUAUGCUGAGGUUGUGAGUUUGACUCUCACCAGACACA